UUUGCCUCAAGGCAAACCAGUGGAAACGCUGGGACGCAAAGCUAAAGGGAUGUCGGCGCAAGCCAUGUCAGCCAGCUGCCAAA
rnacentral:ncRNA from 1 species